rnacentral:rRNA from 1 species
AUUGAACGCUGGCGGAAUGCUUUACACAUGCAAGUCGAACGGCAGCACGGGGGCAACCCUGGUGGCGAGUGGCGAACGGGUGAGUAAUACAUCGGAACGUGCCCAGUCGUGGGGGAUAACGUAGCGAAAGCUACGCUAAUACCGCAUACGAUCUACGGAUGAAAGCGGGGGAUCGCAAGACCUCGCGCGAUUGGAGCGGCCGAUGGCAGAUUAGGUAGUUGGUGGGGUAAAGGCUCACCAAGCCGACGAUCUGUAGCUGGUCUGAGAGGACGACCGGCCACACUGGGACUGAGACACGGCCCAGACUCCUACGGGAGGCAGCAGUGGGGAAGCUUGGACAAUGGGCGCAAGCCUGAUCCAGCCAUUCCGCGUGCAGGAUGAAGGCCCUCGGGUUGUAAACUGCUUUUGUACGGAACGAAACGGCUCUCUCUAAUACAGGGGGCUAAUGACGGUACCGUAAGAAUAAGCACCGGCUAACUACGUGCCAGCCGCCGCAGUAA